rnacentral:rRNA from 1 species
GAGUUUGAUCCUGGCUCAGGAUGAACGCUGGCGGCGUGCUUAACACAUGCAAGUCGAACGAAGCACUUUAUUUGAUUUCCUUCGGGACUGAUUAUUUUGUGACUGAGUGGCGGACGGGUGAGUAACGCGUGGGUAACCUGCCUCAUACAGGGGGAUAACAGUUAGAAAUGACUGCUAAUACCGCAUAAGACCACAGAGCCGCAUGGCUCAGUGGGAAAAACUCCGGUGGUAUGAGAUGGACCCGCGUCUGAUUAGGUAGUUGGUGGGGUAACGGCCUACCAAGCCGACGAUCAGUAGCCGACCUGAGAGGGUGACCGGCCACAUUGGGACUGAGACACGGCCCAAACUCCUACGGGAGGCAGCAGUGGGGAAUAUUGCACAAUGGGGGAAACCCUGAUGCAGCGACGCCGCGUGAGCGAUGAAGUAUUUCGGUAUGUAAAGCUCUAUCAGCAGGGAAGAAAAUGACGGUACCUGACUAAGAAGCACCGGCUAAAUACGUGCCAGCCGCCGCGGUAAUUC